CGCAACGGGCUGGAGCGGAACAGGGCGGAGCGGAGCAGACCAGGGUGCAGCAGUCACCCCCUUGCCCACGGAGCCCUAUAUCGGGUUUCCGUCAGGAAUAAUUUGACGCCUAACGGAAUUCUUCGCCUCUGACACAUGACCCAAAGCCAGGGUGGUUGUCCGCAGUGAGAUGAGGGGCUCGGCUGAAACCGGAGUGAAGGUUACUUUCUCUCCGGAGGGUUUCAACAUGGCCUGCUGUUCUGGAGCUGGAUUUAAGCUAAAUCCACCCCUGGACACGCUGGUUGCCCUGGGAGAUGCUGAGUUCCUGUGGAAGUGAGAUUUGUCCCAAAGACCAUGGCUGGACCUCCUCCUCCUCCUGUCGAGCCCCUGCUUAACACAACUGAUCUCUGAUCGACGUCCAGCUUUCUGGUGCGAAGCAGAAGACACCCAGAACUCCGGUCUUUUCUCCUGCCUGCAGUUUGCAUUCAGUCCUCCCGGCAAGGUGGAGCAGAUGCUCUCGUGGGAACCGGGCCACAGUGUAAUGGCUGGCUGUGAAACGAUAUGGCCUUCACUCAGUGCAAGAGCGUCAAAUUAUACCAUAACAUUGUACCAUUACAUCCUUCAGACCCCCUACUGGGUUUUUAUCCGGGUCAGCUAUACACUGUAGCUCCUGUAUUACAGAGUUAAUGCUUUGCUCUCUCUCUCUCUCUCUCUCUCUCUCUCUCUCUCUCUCUCUCUCUCUCUUGCUCUCUCUCAGUUUCUCACACACACACGUCUAUACUUAGGAUUUGGAAGAACAUUCGACACGGUGACUUAAAUAUGUUUGUUUUCUGGCUGGAAAGAAGGACGCGAAUAAAGAAACGCAGUCAUGCCAGGCAGCAGA